rnacentral:rRNA from 2 species
UGGGGAAUAUUGCACAAUGGGCGCAAGCCUGAUGCAGCGAUGCCGCGUGAGGGAAGAAGGUUUUCGGAUUGUAAACCUCUGUCAUCAGGGACGAAAAUGACGGUACCUGAGAAGGAAGCUCCGGCUAACUACGUGCCAGCAGCCGCGGUAAUACGUAGGGAGCAAGCGUUAUCCGGAAUUACUGGGUGUAAAGGGAGUGUAGGCGGGACUGUAAGUCAGAUGUGAAAUAUGCCGGCUCAACUGGCAGACUGCAUUUGAAACUGCGGUUCUUGAGUGAAGUAGAGGUAAGCGGAAUUCCUAGUGUAGCGGUGAAAUGCGUAGAUAUUAGGAGGAACAUCAGUGGCGAAGGCGGCUUACUGGGCUUUAACUGACGCUGAGGCUCGAAAGCGUGGGGAGCAAACAGG